GGGUGGUUGGCAGAGCGGCCGAAUGCGACGGUCUUGAAAACCGCAUCCCGUGCGAACGGGACGGGGGUUCAAAUCCCUCACCACCCGCCA
rnacentral:tRNA from 1 species